rnacentral:rRNA from 1 species
UACAGAGGGUGCAAGCGUUAAUCGGAAUUACUGGGCGUAAAGCGCGCGUAGGUGGUUCGUUAAGUUGGAUGUGAAAGCCCCGGGCUCAACCUGGGAACUGCAUUCAAAACUGGCGAGCUAGAGUAUGGUAGAGGGUGGUGGAAUUUCCUGUGUAGCGGUGAAAUGCGUAGAUAUAGGAAGGAACACCAGUGGCGAAGGCGACCACCUGGACUGAUACUGACACUGAGGUGCGAAAGCGUGGGGAGCAAACAGG